GACGUAGGGCGCGAGCGUGUCCGGAUUUAUUGGGCGUAAAGAGCUCGUAGGCGGUUCGUCGCGUCGGCUGUGAAAACCUGAGGCUCAACCUCAGGCCUGCAGUCGAUACGGGCGGACUUGAGUACUGCAGGGGAGACUGGAAUUCCUGGUGUAGCGGUGAAAUGCGCAGAUAUCAGGAGGAACACCGGUGGCGAAGGCGGGUCUCUGGGCAGUAACUGACGCUGAGGAGCGAAAGCCGUGGGGAGCGAACAGG
rnacentral:rRNA from 1 species